ACCAACCUGGCGAUUUCGGGGAAGCCAUCACUGCAGGCCAUGUGCAGCGGCGUCCAGCCAUCCUCAUCUCUCUGGUGGACAUCAGCUCCAUAUCUCACCAGCAGCUUCACGCAAUCCAGGUUCCCUAUUCACUCACCAGAUGGGAAGAGGGUAUGCAGACGUACUUUCUUCGCUCUCAUAAAGCGUCCAAUCUGCUCCAUCUCACCAUGUCGGACAAGGUCCUGGAAGAUAAUAUCAUUGGAGAAGUGCACAGCCCGGACUGGCUUGAGUGGUAGAGGUGCAGGAGUCUGCUGUGCAGGAGAAGCUGUGGAUGUCAGUGCUCCUGUGGAUGGAGGUGAUGUUGAAGAGGGCUAGAUCCCAGGGACUGCGAACCACCCUGAACUCAGCUUGUCUGUAAGGGCUCAGCAGGGUGUAGGUGAUGGGCAGACUACCGUUGUCACUCUGACACUGGAAGGGCUUGCCCAGGAUCAACCUGCCCCCUACCACGCUCAGAAGAGGGACUGACACAGGCACUGACAGAGGGAGAGGGGGAACAAAAAAGAGAAUGAAUAAGACCGAAUGAGACCAGAGAAGAAAAAAACUGUUAGAAAAUCAAGCACAUGCAAUGUUUGAGAAUGUUGAAUGAGAGUGUUUUUAAUAUGACCCCAUCCACUGUCAGAACAGAAAUUACAAGAUUGUUAUAAUGCUGUUAUUGCAUCAAAUGGUUGUUUUA